GAUCCUGGCUCAGGAUGAACGCUAGCGGCAGGCCUAACACAUGCAAGUCGAGGGGCAGCACGGUGUAGCAAUACACUGGUGGCGACCGGCGCACGGGUGCGUAACGCGUAUGCAACCUACCCAUAACAGGGGGAUAACACUGAGAAAUCGGUACUAAUACCCCAUAAUAUUCUGGGAGGCAUCUUUCGGAGUUGAAAGCUUUGGUGGUAAAGGAUGGGCAUGCGUUGUAUUAGCUAGUUGG
rnacentral:rRNA from 1 species